rnacentral:rRNA from 1 species
UACGAAGGGGGGCUAGCGUUGCUCGGAUUGACUGGGCGUAAAGGGCGCGUAGGCGGUUCGUACAGUCAGACGUGAAAUUCCUGGGCUCAACCUGGGGGCUGCGUUUGAUACGUGCGGACUUGAGUGCGGAAGAGGGUCGUGGAAUUCCCAGUGUAGAGGUGAAAUGCGUAGAUAUCAGGAGGAAUACCGGUGGUGUAGACGGCUCUCUGGACCGCCACUGACGCUGAGACACGAAAGCGUGGGUAGCAAACAGG